GACGUAGGGGCAAGCGUUGUCCGGAAUCAUUGGGCGUAAAGCGCUCGUAGGUGGAUCUGUAAUGUCUGCAAGGAAAGACCCGGGCUCAACUCGGGGAACCGGUGUGGAUACUACAGAUCUUGAGGCAUUCAGAGGAUGAUGGAAUUCCCGGUGUAGCGGUGAAAUGCGUAGAUAUCGGAAGAGACACCAGUGGCGAAGGCGAGAUCUGGGAGAUUUCUGAGCACUGAGGACGAAAGCCGGUAGGGACGCAAACGGG
rnacentral:rRNA from 1 species